GACGAACGCUGGCGGCGUGCUUAACACAUGCAAGUCGAACGGAAAGGCCCUGCUUUUGUGGGGUGCUCGAGUGGCGAACGGGUGAGUAACACGUGAGUAACCUGCCCUUGACUUUGGGAUAACUUCAGGAAACUGGGGCUAAUACCGGAUAGGAGCUCCUGCUGCAUGGUGGGGGUUGGAAAGUUUCGGCGGUUGGGGAUGGACUCGCGGCUUAUCAGCUUGUUGGUGGGGUAGUGGCUUACCAAGGCUUUGACGGGUAGCCGGCCUGAGAGGGUGACCGGCCACAUUGGGACUGAGAUGCGGCCCAGACGCCUACGGGAGGCAGCAGUGGGGAAUAUUGCACAAUGGGCGGAAGCCUGAUGCAGCAACGCCGCGUGCGGGAUGACGGCCUUCGGGUUGUAAACCGCUUUCGCCUGUGACGAAGCGUGAGUGACGGUAAUGGGUAAAGAAGCACCGGCUAACUACGUG
rnacentral:rRNA from 1 species